AAGAAAAGAAAGAAAAAGAAAAGAAAGGAAAUGGAAGAAAGGUUGUUGAUGUUGGAUGGAUUUAUUAUGAUGUGUAAAUUGACUGGUUGUUUUUAGAUGAUAUGCUUAUUUUGCAGCCACCAGAAAAGUGGCAGACUACUUUGUGUUUAUAUGUGACCUCGGCUUGCUUCUCAUCCACAGUUAUGCAUACUCAAAAUACUCCCACAAUUGAAAGAGAGGCUG
rnacentral:misc_RNA from 1 species